UGGGGAAUUUUGGACAAUGGGCGAAAGCCUGAUCCAGCAAUGCCGCGUGUGUGAAGAAGGCCUUCGGGUUGUAAAGCACUUUUGUCCGGAAAGAAAUCCUUGGCUCUAAUACAGUCGGGGGAUGACGGUACCGGAAGAAUAAGCACCGGCUAACUACGUGCCAGCAGCCGCGGUAAUACGUAGGGUGCAAGCGUUAAUCGGAAUUACUGGGCGUAAAGCGUGCGCAGGCGGUUUGCUAAGACCGAUGUGAAAUCCCCGGGCUCAACCUGGGAACUGCAUUGGUGACUGGCAGGCUAGAGUAUGGCAGAGGGGGGUAGAAUUCCACGUGUAGCAGUGAAAUGCGUAGAGAUGUGGAGGAAUACCGAUGGCGAAGGCAGCCCCCUGGGCCAAUACUGACGCUCAUGCACGAAAGCGUGGGGAGCAAACAGGAUUAGAUACCCUGGUAGUCCACGCCCUAAAACGAUGUCAACUAGUUGUUGGGGAUUCAUUUCUUAGUAACGUAGCUAACGCGUGAAGUUGACCGUCUGGGGAGUACGGUCGCAAGAUUAAAACUUAAAGGAAUUGACGGGGUCAUAGCUGUUUCCU
rnacentral:rRNA from 1 species